AGCAGCCGCGGUAAUUCCAGCUCCAAUAGCGUAUAUUAAAGUUGUUGCGGUUAAAAAGCUCGCAGUCGGACUUCUGGGAGGGUGCCAAUGUCCGCUCGUUAGCGUGUGCAGCGGUGCCCUCCCAUCCUUCUGUUAACGUUUCUUGGUAUUCACUUACUGGUUUCGGGCUCAGAUAUUUUACCUUGAGAAAAUUAGAGUGUUUCAGGCAGGCUUGCGCCGGAAUACAUUAGCAUGGAAUAAUAGAAUAGGACUUUAGUCUCCUUUGUUGGUUUGAGGGACUGAAGUA
rnacentral:rRNA from 1 species